rnacentral:rRNA from 1 species
GUUCCAGACUCCUACGGGAGGCAGCAGUGAGGAAUAUUGGUCAAUGGCCGGAAGGCUGAACCAGCCAAGCCGCGUGAAGGACGAAGGUGCCAAGCAUUGUAAACUUCUUUUGUCAAGGGACAAAAUCAGGCUCGAGAGCCUGACCGAGGGUACUUGAAGAAAAAGCAUCGGCUAACUCUGUGCCAGCAGCCGCGGUAAUACGUAGGGAGCGAGCGUUGUCCGGAAUUACUGGGUGUAAAGGGAGCGUAGGCGGGCGAGAAAGUUGAAUGUUAAAUCUACCGGCUUAACUGGUAGCUGCGUUCAAAACUUCUUGUCUUGAGUGAAGUAGAGGCAGGCGGAAUUCCUAGUGUAGCGGUGAAAUGCGUAGAUAUUAGGAGGAACACCAGUGGCGAAGGCGGCCUGCUGGGCUUUAACUGACGCUGAGGCUCGAAAGCGUGGGGAGCAAACAGGAUUAGAUACCCGCGUAGU